rnacentral:rRNA from 1 species
UACGUAGGGGGCGAGCGUUGUCCGGAGUUACUGGGCGUAAAGGGCAUGCAGGCGGUCGGGCGCGUUUGGUGUGACAGCGCAGGGCUCAACUCUGCGAGCAUACGAAAGACGGCCUGACUUGAGGACUCGAGAGGGACACGGAAUUCCGGGUGGAGUGGUGAAAUGCGUAGAUAUGCGGAGGAACACCGAUGGCGAAGGCAAUCCCCUGGACCUGUACUGACGCUCAUGCACGAAAGCGUGGGGAGCAAACAGG